rnacentral:rRNA from 1 species
UACGGAGGGAGCUAUCGUUGUUCGGAAAUACUGGGCGUAAAGCGCACGUAGGCGGCGCAGCAAGUCAGGGGUGAAAUCCCGGGGCUCAACCCCGGAACUGCCCUUGAAACUGCAGUGCUAGAAUCUUGGAGAGGCGAGUGGAAUUCCGAGUGUAGAGGUGAAAUUCGUAGAUAUUCGGAAGAACACCAGUGGCGAAGGCGACUCGCUGGACAAGUAUUGACGCUGAGGUGCGAAAGCGUGGGGAGCAAACAGG